rnacentral:tRNA from 1 species
GCGGACGUAGCUCAGCUGGUAGAGCAUCUGCUUCCCAAGCAGAAGGUCGCGGGUUCGAACCCCGUCGUCCGCUCCG